UACGUAGGGAGCAAGCGUUAUCCGGAUUUACUGGGUGUAAAGGGCGAGUAGGCGGGCUGGCAAGUUGGGAGUGAAAUCCCGGGGCUUAACCCCGGAACUGCUUUCAAAACUGCUGGUCUUGAGUGAUGGAGAGGCAGGCGGAAUUCCGUGUGUAGCGGUGAAAUGCGUAGAUAUACGGAGGAACACCAGUGGCGAAGGCGGCCUGCUGGACAUUAACUGACGCUGAGGAGCGAAAGCGUGGGGAGCAA
rnacentral:rRNA from 1 species